UACGUAGGGGCAAGCGUUGUCCGGAUUUAUUGGGCGUAAAGAGCGUGUGGGCGGCCAUACAGGUCCGUUGUGAAAACUGGAGGCUUAACCUCCAAGACGUCGAUGGAAACCGUAUGGCUAGAGUCCGGAAGAGGAGAGUGGAAUUCCUGGUGUAGCGGUGAAAUGCGCAGAUAUCAGGAGAACACCGAUGGCGAAGGCAGUUCUCUGGGACGGUACUGACGCUGAGACGCGAAAGCGUGGGGAGCGAACAGG
rnacentral:rRNA from 1 species